AUUGAACGCUGGCGGCAUGCCUUACACAUGCAAGUCGAACGGCAGCACGGGAGCUUGCUCCUGGUGGCGAGUGGCGAACGGGUGAGUAAUAUAUCGGAACGUACCCUAGAGUGGGGAUAACGCAGCGAAAGUUGCGCUAAUACCGCAUACGAUCUACGGAUGAAAGUGGGGGAUCGCAAGACCUCAUGCUCAUGGAGCGGCCGAUAUCUGAUUAGCUAGUUGGUUGGGGUAAAGGCCUACCAAGGCUUCGAUCAGUAGCUGGUCUGAGAGGACGACCAGCCACACUGGAACUGAGACACGGUCCAGACUCCUACGGGAGGCAGCAGUGGGGGAAUAUUGGACAAUGGGCGGAAAGCCUGAUCCAGCAAUGCCGCGUGAGUGAUGAAGGCCUUAGGGUUGCAAGCUCUUUACCCGAGAUGAUAAUGACAGUAUCGGGAGAAUAAGCUCCGGCUAACUCCGUGCCAGCACG
rnacentral:rRNA from 1 species